rnacentral:rRNA from 1 species
ACGUACACUCCUGCGGGAGGCAGCAGUGGGGAAUAUUGGACAAUGGGCGCAAGCCUGAUCCAGCCAUGCCGCGUGAGUGAUGAAGGCCCUAGGGUUGUAAAGCUCUUUCACCGGUGAAGAUAAUGACGGUAACCGGAGAAGAAGCCCCGGCUAACUUCGUGCCAGCAGCCGCGGUAAUACGAAGGGGGCUAGCGUUGUUCGGAUUUACUGGGCGUAAAGCGCACGUAGGCGGACUAUUAAGUCAGGGGUGAAAUCCCGGGGCUCAACCCCGGAACUGCCUUUGAUACUGGUAGUCUUGAGUUCGAGAGAGGUGAGUGGAAUUCCGAGUGCAGAGGUGAAAUUCGUAGAUAUUCGGAGGAACACCAGUGGCGAAGGCGGCUCACUGGCUCGAUACUGACGCUGAGGUGCGAAAGCGUGGGGAGCAAACAGGAUUAGAUACCCGAGUAGUCCC